rnacentral:rRNA from 1 species
UCCCUAAAAGCCGUCUCAGUUCGGAUUGCAGGCUGCAACUCGCCUGCAUGAAGCUGGAAUUGCUAGUAAUCGCGGAUCAGCAUGCCGCGGUGAAUACGUUCCCGGGCCUUGUACACACCGCCCGUCACACCAUGAGAGUCGGGAACACCCGAAGUCCGUAGUCUAACCGCAAGGAGGGCGCGGCCGAAGGUGGGUCCGGUAAUCGGGGUGAAGUCGUAACAAGGUAUC